UUCAACAAUAAAGGUUAACGUUUCUAAAAUCCAAUGGUACUGUAUAUAUUCCCCUGGGCCCGGUUUUUCGAAAGGUGGUUAACUCUAAGCCUAACACCGUGUUAACUCUGUGUUAAACUCGGUGUUUAAGUUAACGAAAUGGUUAAGUGUUUUUCGAAAGUGUGUUAGGGUUUAACCAUGUGUUAACUCUGUGUUAACUUUAAUCCACCCCCAGUACCUUGGUUAAGAUUUAACACAGUGAUUAAAUAUGGCCGCCAGUGUAAUGAUUUUGCCACUUCAACUCAAAAAAUUGGUAUAAGAAGCAUUUUCCAGAAAUUUUAAAGUUUGAAAAAUCUUACAUAUGAUAUAAGAUACGGAAAAGCAACCGGCUUGACAUGAAAAGUUGCAGCAAUCUGUAUGAUAUAUUUAUGGAAGAAGGAUUUUACACAUGGUUCAUACCCCCUAUGUUGAAGGAUCCCUUCUUUUGAGGAGGCUGCAUUGUUGACAGCAGUAAAAGAUUUGGAAGAAGGAGAACAUGGUAUGUUCUGCUGGGUGACACUUGCUGUGCUUGGUACCUAAUUCUCCCAAAGCCAUAUCUCAUGAGGCCCACAAACUGCAGCCAAGGAAAAAUUUAAUCAAACAUGCAUACCAAGAUCAGAAGUGAAAUUGAGAGGUUCUUUUAUUUGCAUAAGAUUUGCAUGAUACAGGAAUUAACUGCCUGCCUGCAUUGUUUAUUUGAAGAGAACUUGGAGAGACCGAGAAAGAUGAGUAUUUGACAACAACCAACCUCUAAGCCUCAAACACCAUGCACCAAGAGAAGGAGAACAAUUAUUGUGACAUUUAAUCUAAUGUCUACAUCCUAAUUUAUAAUACACAAUAGCCAAAAAAAAAUGAAUCUCUCUCUCUCUCUCUCUCUCUCUCUAUCUCUCUCUCUCUCUCUCUGCUAUUAAAACAUGUCUAACAUGUUUUUAUUAUGAAAUUGUUUAAAGUACCAUAAACUGGAAAUGAUAAUUAUUAAAGUAAUAAAAAUUAAAUUAGAUUGCUGUGUCAAGUUAAUCAGGUAAUUCAAUUCAAUUUGAUCCCAUGAAUUAAUAAUGAAUUAUUUUUAACUGGCCACAAAAUGGUGGGGUUGGAACUCCAUGGUACAACAACAAUUAUGCACAUUUUGUGGAGAUGUGUGAAAUCUCUGUUUAAAUUCAAUGCAUUGUUUCUAAAGUAGGCCGACACAUGAAAAAAAAACCUGCCAAGUACUAGCAAUGUACAUGUACUUGAAUGUACUACACGUACUAACAACCUUGAGCUAGCUAGAGCACUUGGCCACAUGAAGUUUCCAGACUCUUGAGUGUCGAGAAUUAUUCAUCCCCACCCUUCUUUCUUAAACCUUGUCACGUAGAUUGAAACAACAGAAGACGUGUGCGAAUGAAGACCCAUAUGUUGUACUUCAUUUCCAUGUAGAACUGUCACACAAGUGACUGGUUUUUAUGCCAACUGAGACUUUAAUUAAUACAUGAACCUGACAGAACAAAAAAACAACAAAUCUGGCUAAAACAAAUGUAUAUCUUUCUGUCAUUUAUAGAUUUGAUUCUAAGACACAAAAGUACAAGUUACUCUUGAUUUAAUUAAUAAUAAUUAAAAAAAAUUACCGUAUCAAAUUCCAAUACUCUCUGAAGUCUUCAACUCAAACAAUAAAAAAUCUUUUAAACCCCAUUUUAAAAAUUGCAGUGCAUUGGAUGGUACCUAAUUGAAUCUAUUGAGAUGGUGGAAUACCCUCAAUAAACGAUAAGAGGUUGUGUUGAGCUUGUAAACACAUUAACAACAUCAAAGACAUUCAAGGUGGCAUCAAGUUUUUUUUACGACAAGAGUUUCAAAGCUCUCGUAUCUAUUCAAGAAUGUUCCUGGUAAUAUUACCCUUCCUGAGUUGCAUGGGUACUAUUACCUUUCCUCGUAAAAUUAUAACUCUCCCCCAGUGUGUGAUUUAGGACUCAAUAACCAAUUCUGGGAUUACAUGAAACAGUACUGGCCACACCCAAAUGGGAGUUAUUUCUAUGUGGGGGUGCCUGAAAGUGACAAAGGCUGCACGAAUUUGAAAAACCUUCAAGCAGUAAACUGCACUCGGUCAACCAUCAGGGGAGGGAGGGGACCAAUAUACUCACAACUUGAUUCAAUUAACUGGGAAUAAAUUUAACAAAAGACUCUAAACUCGCAGAUAAUCGGUCAACAAUCACCUUCACAAAGCAAAUCAAUCGAAGGGCAUUAGAUGAUAUCAGUUUUAAUAUGGUUAUAAAUGUAGGAAGCAAGUAGAGCUUGUGCUGCAUUAUUAUUUGAAUUCAAUUGUCAAUAUUUGGCAUGUGAUAAGAUAAACAGAAAUGUGGCUUUUAAGCACACAGUUCAGGUCUCUUUGGACCCCCACAGUGCUGGCAUCGCUUUUAAUUUACUUUCAACUUAUUCCAUUUCAUUGUUGUGAUAUUUAAAUGCACUACAUACACAGCCCUAUACACUGCUCAUAUAGAAAACCUGUUACACAAUGGACAAUCUGUCCCUGUCAUUCCUGCACUUGGCCC